rnacentral:rRNA from 1 species
GACGAACGCUGGCGGCAGGCCUAACACAUGCAAGUCGAACGAGUGGCGGACGGGUGAGUAAUGCCUGGGAAACUGCCCGAUGGAGGGGGAUAACUACUGGAAACGGUAGCUAAUACCGCAUACCAUCGGAUGUGCCCAGAUGGGAUUAGCUAGUGGGUGGGGUAACGGCUCACCUAGGCGACGAUCCCUAGCUGGUCUGAGAGGAUGACCAGCCACACUGGAACUGAGACACGGUCCAGACUCCUACGGGAGGCAGCAGUGGGGAAUAUUGCGCAAUGGGCGCAAGCCUGAUGCAGCCAUGCCGCGUGAAUGAAGAAGGCCUUCGGGUUGUAAAGUACUUUCAGCGGGGAGGCGUUACUCACAGAAGAAGCACCGGCUAACUCCGUGCCGGCCGCCGCGGUAAUUC